UCCAGACUCCUACGGGAGGCAGCAGUGAGGAAUAUUGGUCAAUGGCCGCAGGGCUGAACCAGCCAAGUCGCGUGAGGGAUGGCGGUCCUAUGGAUUGUAAACCUCUUUUGUCAGGGAGCAAAGGGCGCCACGUGUGGCGCUUUGCGAGUACCUGAAGAAAAAGCAUCGGCUAACUCCGUGCCAGCAGCCGCGGUAAUACGGAGGAUGCGAGCGUUAUCCGGAUUUAUUGGGUUUAAAGGGUGCGCAGGCGGAAUGUCAAGUCAGCGGUAAAAUUUCGGGGCUCAACCCCGUCGUGCCGUUGAAACUGGCGUUCUUGAGUGAGCGAGAAGUAUGCGGAAUGCGUGGUGUAGCGGUGAAAUGCAUAGAUAUCACGCAGAACCCCGAUUGCGAAGGCAGCAUGCCGGCUUCCGACUGACGCUGAAGCACGAAAGCGUGGGGAUCGAACAGGAUUAGAUACCCCCGUA
rnacentral:rRNA from 1 species